CAGCAUGUUUCCAAGGGCUAUGGGAUCUCCAACUGCAUGCCAGAGUAACUGGAGAGACUUGGACAGCCGAGAUCAACACAGUGCCUGUAGAUACCAUUCAGUUUUCUUAUAUAU